rnacentral:rRNA from 1 species
UACGGAGGGUGCAAGCGUUGUCCGGAUUUAUUGGGUUUAAAGGGUGCGUAGGCGGCUCAUUAAGUCAGUGGUGAAAGCCUCCAGCUUAACUGGAGAACUGCCAUUGAUACUGAUGAGCUUGAGUAUACUUGAGGUAGGCGGAAUUGACAGUGUAGCGGUGAAAUGCAUAGAUAUUGUCAAGAACACCAAUUGCGAAGGCAGCUUACUAAAUUAUAACUGACGCUGAGGCACGAAAGUGUGGGUAUCAAACAGG